GUUUUGCAUAGAGUAAAUCCUAUAAAUAUCACGGCGGGCAGAAAUGGCAGUUAAUCAUGUUUAUUAGACUGUAGGGGUCUGUGUGGGUUGAAUGAUAAUUUCAGCAUCUUGCUGCAUCUUGUUUAUUUCUCCAGAAACACCAGACUUGUUUUCCUGUUGUGAUUUCAGUCCUUUUCCUCCAGGAAAACAGGAGCCGAAGCCAAAUGUACUUUUAUUGAAGAGGAGUAACAGCAUGAAUGGGAAAGUAAACUCAAUUGGCUACCACUUCCCUCAGCUCGAAAUGUAGCAAAAUGAAUGGAGGGGGGAGAGAUGCAGUGAAUGGCAAAUCCAUAGAAUAAAGGAACAAAGGAAUGGAUUGAAAAGAGUCAAGCAGUUUGAUCAAAGAUCGUUUCUCUCCUUUCUUCUUCUGCAAUGACAGUUCUCCAGGCACUGCUUUUAUUUUCUAAAGGUAUCAAUGUCAUUUAAGAGGCUGAGCUUUUGGUCUUCGGGACCAUCAUCACCAGCUCUGGAUCAAGAGCUGUUAACGCACUCAAACUCAAUUGGAAAUGUUUUGCAAUUAUGACUGGCAUCACACUAUGGACCACAAAAUUUGUAAGGCAGAGGAGGAAAAGGUGGAAAAUCAAAAGUUUAGCUUAAAUAUAAAUGAUUGAAUUACCCCCAAAUUACAAGAGCUGUCAUAGGAGUAUUCUGAAAAUUGAUUCAACAAUGAUUAAUCUCAUUUGAACAUUUUACUUUGCAGACAACACACAUAUCUUUGUUUUUCCUUGUACACACAGCUCAUUUUUUAUAAAUCCAACUUUGAUUUGUAAGGGAGAAAUAAACACGAAUAUUUACAUGCACCGAAAGAGCUUGUUGGGAGAGCUUUUCCAAUCUGCAAGCUGAAAAUAUCAACAACCUAAACUGAAGUUCACCUACAGGCCUUUUCAUUCUAUUCAAACAAAGGGCAGAAAUAAUGACACAAAGGGCAGAAAUAAUGACACAAAGUAGUUUCCUACCCACAGAAGAUAAAUGAAAGCGACCAGCUGGUGGGGAAACAACAACAGGAAUAAAGAAUAGAAUUCCUGACAUAAAGUUUGAUGGAUGGCAGCCUCUGGCUUGAGUGGUUGGCAGUUCAGGGUUUAUCUCCAACGUGGUUCAUGACCAUCAUGGUUGUUUGGUCACCACUCCUUUCAACAUCUUCCUCAUUCCUAUAUUUAUGUAAC